rnacentral:rRNA from 1 species
AUUGAACACUGGCGGCAGGCCUAACACAUGCAAGUCGAACGAGUGGCGGACGGGUGAGUAAUGUCUGGGAAACUGCCUGAUGGAGGGGGAUAACGACCGGAAACGGUAGCUAAUACCGCAUACCAUCAGAUGUGCCCAGCUGGGAUUAGUUAGUUGGUGGGGUAACGGCUCACCAUGGCGACGAUCCCUAGCUGGUCUGAGAGGAUGACGAGCCAGACUUGAACUGAGACACGGUCCAGACUCCUACGUGAGGCAGAAGUGGGGAAUAUUGCACAAUGGGCGCAAGCCGGAUGCAGCCAUGCCGUGUGUAUGAAGAAGGCCUGCGGGUUGUAAAGUACUUUCAGCGGGGAGGCGGUACCCGCCGAAGAAGCACCGGCUAACUCCGGGCGAGCCGCCGCGGUAAUAC